CGCCAGGGGCGCCGAGCUGGCCGGGGAGGCCGCGGGGCAGCCUCGGGGCCCGGGGGCGGGGCGGGGGUGCUGGCCCUGCGCCGCCUCCCGCGACCUUGUUCACUGGGCAGGGGCCGGGCAAUGUCAGCGGCGGGGCGGCCUUGCCAACCUCCAAGGGCGCCCGCGCUCCUCCCGCUCCCCAUUGGCCGCUGAGGGGGGAUCCGGCCUUCCAGAGGCAGCCAAUGGGCGCCGGGGGUCCCCCGGGCUGCGGGGAGCGGGCCCGGCCCGCCCGGCGCGGGCGGCGGCCGCUGGCAGCUGUAGCGGCAGCCGCGUUGCCGACCGUGAGGGGUUACGCUGGUGUCCUGUGGGUUAACCGGCGGGGGAGCCGUCUCUCUGCACCAAGCGCAGGGGAUGCGAGCGGUGGAAUCACUGAAAGUCCGGGGUCGGCGCAGAGAAGGCGCGGAGAGCUGACCUAAGAGGUGACUGACCGAACGGCUCUCUGGCGGUCACCUCGCCUCCCGGGAUCACGGAUGAGCUAGGGAGAGCCUGCACACCUUUCCUCUUCACCGGAGAGGCAGCUUUGAUCUCCAGCGCUGCCUGGCUUUUCCCCAAGGCUCCCAGUCCACUUCACUAAAGGCAGGCUUUGCAUAAUGCAUCGAAGAAUGGAGUUAAUGUCGGCAAAGGACUUUCUGACAUCCUAAAUCUUGGGCAGUAGCAGCAAGAGCAUGUGGCAAUAAAACAACGAUACAAAAGAA